rnacentral:rRNA from 1 species
UACGUAGGGUGCGAGCGUUAAUCGGAAUUACUGGGCGUAAAGCGUGCGCAGGCGGUUUUGUAAGCCAGAUGUGAAAUCCCCGGGCUCAACCUGGGAAUGGCAUUUGGGACUGCAAGGCUGGAGUACGGCAGAGGAGACUGGAAUUCCUGGUGUAGCAGUGAAAUACGUAGAGAUCAGGAGGAAUACCGAUGGCGAAGGCAGGUCUCUGGGCUGAUACUGACGCUCAUGCACGAAAGCGUGGGGAGCAAACAGG